UCUCCAAGAUAGAUGGCUCGGGCGACAGAAACGAGACUCCCAAGGUGUCAUCUCCUGAUACACAUCCAGAAGGACCGGAACGAGCUGCCAGCCAGUCGGAAAUUGUGGAAAGGUUGACCUCUGGUGAGGCAAAACCAAGACU
rnacentral:ribozyme from 12 species